ensembl:snoRNA SNORD24 Small nucleolar RNA SNORD24
UGCCAGAGUGAUGACACUUAUUUGCUACUCUUGACCAAGAGAGUGAUGAGCACUUUUACCACCAUACCAGAUUUCUGAGGCA